rnacentral:rRNA from 1 species
AGGGUGCAAGCGUUGUCCGGAAUUAUUGGGCGUAAAGAGCUCGUAGGCGGUUUGUCACGUCUGCUGUGAAAACCCGAGGCUUAACCUCGGGCGUGCAGUGGGUACGGGCAGACUUGAGUGCGGUAGGGGAGAUUGGAAUUCCUGGUGUAGCGGUGGAAUGCGCAGAUAUCAGGAGGAACACCGAUGGCGAAGGCAGAUCUCUGGGCCGUUACUGACGCUGAGGAGCGAAAGCAUGGGGAGCGA